CCUCAGUGAAAUUUAUAAGUUCAUCAUUCACAAGUUCUGCUUUCCACAUUAUUGUGGGACACAAUUCUGGUUAUCAUGGGAUUGGGACUCGUGGCUUUAUAAGCAGCAGCAGCAGAGAGACCUGAGCUAGCAUACUCAGCUCCCUCACCAUGUGAUAUCGCCUGCCACCUUGAGAUUCUACAGAGAGUCCCACCAGCAAGAAUGCCCUCACCAGAUGUGGCCCCUCGACCUUGGACUUCUCAGCCUCUAUAACUGUGACCAAAACAGUCUCCACUCUGGACACUCCAACCAGACCAAGAGGAAAGAGCUAAUCAUACUCCCUUUGGGGGUUCCCCAACUAUACAGCCGAGCCAAAUUGCCAGACAGUGAAGCUCAGAGUUGACAAGCCUUACAACGUACAAUGAACUUCUAAUCAGUGUUUUCAUCUUCCUUUUAAAUAUGAGCAAAGAAGGGCCAUCAGAUAUCAAAGGAAAGCAUCUAAGAUAAAGCACAUACAACACAACACAACAAACACAAACUAUUCA